GCUGAUUAUGGACUAAAACCUCUCAAACUGCCAGAUAAAUAAACCUUUCCUCCUUUAACUUUGGGUGUUAGCUGUUUUGUCUCUGCUAUGACAGAAAUGCAACAAAGAUAGUGCAUUUAAUCACUUGAUAUUCUUAUUUGUUACUUGAUUAUUCAUUUGUCUGUUUUCCCUUAGUGUAUAAGUUCUGCAGGGGCAGCACAUGUUACUCAUCUUUGCUGAAUCUCCAGUGUCUAAUUCUCCAUGGAAAGAAAUUGUCAAGUUUCGUUUAAAGACUGUAUUGUGUUGGAAUAUAUGAUAUUAAAAUGAAAAAUGACCUAGGACUAUGCAGAUAGUAAAUGGAAACAAUGAACCUGUUACGGUCUUUUGAGGAAGAGUUAAUGCAUUUAGCACUGUUUGUUUCAAUAACCUUGUCCAUAAUUAAAACUGA